rnacentral:rRNA from 1 species
UACGAAGGGGGCUAGCGUUGUUCGGAUUUACUGGGCGUAAAGCGCACGUAGGCGGAUCGUUAAGUCGGGGGUGAAAUCCUGGAGCUCAACUCCAGAACUGCCUUCGAUACUGGCGAUCUUGGGUCCGGAAGAGGUGAGUGGAACUCCUAGUGUAGAGGUGGAAUUCGUAGAUAUUAGGAAGAACACCAGUGGCGAAGGCGGCUCACUGGUCCGGUACUGGACGCUGAGGUGCGAAAGCGUGGGGAGCAAAAGGG